AAUGGGUCUGGUGCAGCUCUCGUUCCCUCCCUCAUUCGCGCUCUGGAGAGUCAAGACUGUUCAGCAAAGCAUGUUUCCCAGAAACUUUCUAGAUGAAAGGAAAGAGGUUCGUGCAGGGCUGCCAAGUCCCUUUCUACUUCUAUCUCUCCCCAUGAUGCGAGCCCAGUCCACCUCUCCGCCCCACAGCUUUUGCAUCCUGAAGCCGGAGCUCAGUCCUCCACACACACACACACACACACACACGGCAGUUGCAACCCUGGCCAGAGACUGCAUCUCAGCAAAAAGUUUGCCACGUGCAGCAGAACUGAGGCAAAGAGAUUCAAAAUUGAGUUUCCUCUCCUUCAUCACCUUCUUGACCCAUUUCUCAAGGAUCCUCAACAAUACCAAACAGACCUCCAUUGUAGAGAAGAAUCACAACCUUCAUCUGAUGAAGUGCUCUCUAAUCUACCUUUGUUGAAUCUGAUGCAGUUGACUCUAACACAACAAAGUUUAUGCUGCAAUAACUGUGUUAAUUUGUAAAGUGA